AUGAAGGACGUGCUAAUCUGCGAUAAGCGUCGGUAAGGUGAUAUGAACCGUUAUAACCGGCGAUUUCCGAAUGGGGAAACCCAGUGUGUUUCGACACACUAUCAUUAACUGAAUCCAUAGGUUAAUGAGGCGAACCGGGGGAACUGAAACAUCUAAGUACCCCGAGGAAAAGAAAUCAACCGAGAUUCCCCCAGUAGCGGCGAGCGAACGGGGAGSAGCCCAGAGCCUGAAUCAGUGUGUGUGUUAGUGGAAGCGUCUGGAAAGGCGCGCGAUACAGGGUGACAGCCCCGUACACAAAAAUGCACAUGCUGUGAGCUCGAUGAGUAGGGCGGGACACGUGGUAUCCUGUCUGAAUAUGGGGGGACCAUCCUCCAAGGCUAAAUACUCCUGACUGACCGAUAGUGAACCAGUACCGUGAGGGAAAGGCGAAAAGAACCCCGGCGAGGGGAGUGAAAAAGAACCUGAAACCGUGUACGUACAAGCAGUGGGAGCACGCUUAGGCGUGUGACUGCGUACCUUUUGUAUAAUGGGUCAGCGACUUAUAUUCUGUAGCAAGGUUAACCGAAUAGGGGAGCCGAAGGGAAACCGAGUCUUAACUGGGCGUUAAGUUGCAGGGUAUAGACCCGAAACCCGGUGAUCUAGCCAUGGGCAGGUUGAAGGUUGGGUAACACUAACUGGAGGACCGAACCGACUAAUGUUGAAAAAUUAGCGGAUGACUUGUGGCUGGGGGUGAAAGGCCAAUCAAACCGGGAGAUAGCUGGUUCUCCCCGAAAGCUAUUUAGGUAGCGCCUCGUGAAUUCAUCUCCGGGGGUAGAGCACUGUUUCGGCAAGGGGGUCAUCCCGACUUACCAACCCGAUGCAAACUGCGAAUACCGGAGAAUGUUAUCACGGGAGACACACGGCGGGUGCUAACGUCCGUCGUGAAGAGGGAAACAACCCAGACCGCCAGCUAAGGUCCCAAAGUCAUGGUUAAGUGGGAAACGAUGUGGGAAGGCCCAGACAGCCAGGAUGUUGGCUUAGAAGCAGCCAUCAUUUAAAGAAAGCGUAAUAGCUCACUGGUCGAGUCGGCCUGCGCGGAAGAUGUAACGGGGCUAAACCAUGCACCGAAGCUGCGGCAGCGACGCUUAUGCGUUGUUGGGUAGGGGAGCGUUCUGUAAGCCUGUGAAGGUGUGCUGUGAGGCAUGCUGGAGGUAUCAGAAGUGCGAAUGCUGACAUAAGUAACGAUAAAGCGGGUGAAAAGCCCGCUCGCCGGAAGACCAAGGGUUCCUGUCCAACGUUAAUCGGGGCAGGGUGAGUCGACCCCUAAGGCGAGGCCGAAAGGCGUAGUCGAUGGGAAACAGGUUAAUAUUCCUGUACUUGGUGUUACUGCGAAGGGGGGACGGAGAAGGCUAUGUUGGCCGGGCGACGGUUGUCCCGGUUUAAGCGUGUAGGCUGGUUUUCCAGGCAAAUCCGGAAAAUCAAGGCUGAGGCGUGAUGACGAGGCACUACGGUGCUGAAGCAACAAAUGCCCUGCUUCCAGGAAAAGCCUCUAAGCAUCAGGUAACAUCAAAUCGUACCCCAAACCGACACAGGUGGUCAGGUAGAGAAUACCAAGGCGCUUGAGAGAACUCGGGUGAAGGAACUAGGCAAAAUGGUGCCGUAACUUCGGGAGAAGGCACGCUGAUAUGUAGGUGAAGUCCCUCGCGGAUGGAGCUGAAAUCAGUCGAAGAUACCAGCUGGCUGCAACUGUUUAUUAAAAACACAGCACUGUGCAAACACGAAAGUGGACGUAUACGGUGUGACGCCUGCCCGGUGCCGGAAGGUUAAUUGAUGGGGUCAGCGCAAGCGAAGCUCUUGAUCGAAGCCCCGGUAAACGGCGGCCGUAACUAUAACGGUCCUAAGGUAGCGAAAUUCCUUGUCGGGUAAGUUCCGACCUGCACGAAUGGCGUAAUGAUGGCCAGGCUGUCUCCACCCGAGACUCAGUGAAAUUGAACUCGCUGUGAAGAUGCAGUGUACCCGCGGCAAGACGGAAAGACCCCGUGAACCUUUACUAUAGCUUGACACUGAACAUUGAGCCUUGAUGUGUAGGAUAGGUGGGAGGCUUAGAAGUGUGGACGCCAGUCUGCAUGGAGCCGACCUUGAAAUACCACCCUUUAAUGUUUGAUGUUCUAACGUUGACCCGUAAUCCGGGUUGCGGACAGUGUCUGGUGGGUAGUUUGACUGGGGCGGUCUCCUCCUAAAGAGUAACGGAGGAGCACGAAGGUUGGCUAAUCCUGGUCGGACAUCAGGAGGUUAGUGCAAUGGCAUAAGCCAGCUUGACUGCGAGCGUGACGGCGCGAGCAGGUGCGAAAGCAGGUCAUAGUGAUCCGGUGGUUCUGAAUGGAAGGGCCAUCGCUCAACGGAUAAAAGGUACUCCGGGGAUAACAGGCUGAUACCGCCCAAGAGUUCAUAUCGACGGCGGUGUUUGGCACCUCGAUGUCGGCUCAUCACAUCCUGGGGCUGAAGUAGGUCCCAAGGGUAUGGCUGUUCGCCAUUUAAAGUGGUACGCGAGCUGGGUUUAGAACGUCGUGAGACAGUUCGGUCCCUAUCUGCCGUGGGCGCUGGAGAACUGAGGGGGGCUGCUCCUAGUACGAGAGGACCGGAGUGGACGCAUCACUGGUGUUCGGGUUGUCAUGCCAAUGGCACUGCCCGGUAGCUAAAUGCGGAAGAGAUAAGUGCUGAAAGCAUCUAAGCACGAAACUUGCCCCGAGAUGAGUUCUCCCUGACUCCUUGAGAGUCCUGAAGGAACGUUGAAGACGACGACGUUGAUAGGCCGGGUGUGUAAGCGCAGCGAUGCGUUGAGCUAACCGGUACUAAUGAACCGUGAGGCUUAACCUUACAACGCCGAAGCG
rnacentral:rRNA from 1 species